GGGGGUGUAAAGGUUUCGACAUGGGUGUUGAAGCCGGGUUAGCGAGUCGUAGUCGCCAAGUCUACGUUAAAAAUGGCCGUUAAAUACAAACGCUAAAAAUAAUAAUUCAUUCGCAUUGGCUGCUUAAUCAGCCCCGCGUGCCUCUUUCAGCUCUCCUGUAGGCCGGAAGCAAGGUAUCAAAUCAUACAGGAAGCCUUUGGGAGAGUGUCUGGUAUCCUAAAGGUAAUUACAGACUUGUUGAGAGGGUAGUUUGCCGAUAGACAGCCCUUGAUACGAGAUUAAUAAAUAUCGGAUGCACUCGGAGAAGACCCUGUGAAUAUGCUUGUGGACGCGAGUUCGAUUCUCGCCACUUCCACCA
rnacentral:tmRNA from 1 species